ACAGCUAUGGUGAAAUGGUAUCAUGCAUCGUUGCCACGUUGAAUUCGAUGCGGUGGGGGUUCGAUUCCCCCUGGCUGUA
rnacentral:tRNA from 2 species